rnacentral:rRNA from 1 species
UACGUAGGGUGCAGGCGUUAAUCGGAAUUACUGGGCGUAAAGCGUGCGCAGGCGGUUUGCUAAGACAGGUGUGAAAUCCCCGGGCUUAACCUGGGAACUGCGCUUGUAACUGGCAAGCUGGAGUGUGGCAGAGGGGGGUGGAAUUCCGCGUGUAGCAGUGAAAUGCGUAGAGAUGUGGAGGGACACCGAUGGCGAAGGCAGCCCCCUGGGCUAACACUGACGCUCAUGCACGAAAGCGUGGGGAGCAAACAGG